UAUAGCUCAGCUGGGAGAGCGCUUGCAUGGCAUGCAAGAGGUCAGCGGUUCGAUCCCGUUUUAUGCG
rnacentral:tRNA from 1 species